GACGAACGCUGGCGGCGUGCCUAACACAUGCAAGUCGAGCGAGUAGAUCCCUUCGGGGUGAAGCUAGCGGCGGACGGGUGAGUAACACGUGGGCAACCUGCCUCAUAGAGGGGAAUAGCCUUCCGAAAGGAAGAUUAAUACCGCAUAAGAUUGUAGCUUUGCAUGAAGUAGCAAUUAAAGGAGCAAUCCGCUAUGAGAUGGGCCCGCGGCGCAUUAGCUAGUUGGUGAGGUAACGGCUCACCAAGGCGACGAUGCGUAGCCGACCUGAGAGGGUGAUCGGCCACAUUGGGACUGAGACACGGCCCAGACUCCUACGGGAGGCAGCAGUGGGGAAUAUUGCACAAUGGGGGAAACCCUGAUGCAGCAACGCCGCGUGAGUGAUGACGGCCUUCGGGUUGUAAAGCUCUGUCUUCGGGGACGAUAAUGACGGUACCCGAGGAGGAAGCCACGGCUAACUACGUGCCAGCAGCCGCCGUAA
rnacentral:rRNA from 1 species